AAGACUACUAGUUUGAUAGGCUGGGUGUGUAAUGGAUGAAAGUCCUUUAGCUGACCAGUACUAAUAGAGCGUUUGGCUUAUCUUUAAUAAAGCAU
rnacentral:rRNA from 1 species